AGCCAAUAGAUACCCGGGUAGUCCACGCAGUAAACGAUGGACACUAGGUGUGGCGGGAGUUGACCCCUGCCGUGCCGGCGCUAAACGCAGUAAGUGUCCCGCCUGGGGAGUACGGCCGCAAGGCUAAAACUCAAAGGAAUUGACGGGGGCCCGGCACAAGCAGCGGAGCGUGUGGUUUAAAUUCGACGCAACGCGCAACACCUUACCAGGGUUUGACAUCCUCAGAAUCUGGCUGAAAGGCUGGAGUGCCCGCAAGGGAGCUGGGAGACAGGUGCUGCAUGGCUGUCGUCAGCUCGUGUCGUGAGAUGUUGGGUU
rnacentral:rRNA from 1 species